GGAAAAUAAAUGUAAUUCGGCGAAGACUGAGCCAUUAAAAUUGGGCCUCUUUUUGUUUGUGUCUCUCUUUGGUUCAACUAAGCCCACAUUUCGGCUCAUCACAAACAAACCAGUGAGCCACUGACACACACAAUAUGCGCCAUAUGGCGGUGGCAUCACCGCUUUUAACCUCACCACCAACAGUAUCUCCAUUUCUCCGACAAACCCGAAGCUACAAAAGGACCUUGAUCCGGUCGUCCUCAUCAGCAUCAUCGCCAAUGGACCUUCACCACCCAAAACGAGUCGUCGUAUGCGGCGGCGGCGUCAUCGGCGUAUGCACCGCUUACUUCUUAGCCAAAAGCGGCGCCGCCGUAACCCUCGUCGAGAAAUCCUCCGUGGCUUGCGCUGCCUCCGGAAAAGCCGGCGGCUUCCUCGCCCUCGAUUGGUGCGACGGCGGGCCCCUCAGUUCCCUCGCCCGUGCCAGCUUCAACCUCCACCGUUCGCUUGCUCAAGAACUCGACGGCCCCAAUUCUUACGGCUACCGAUCCCUCACCACUCUCAGCCUCACCGUCACAGAGUCUCAGAGCUCGAAACCCUCCGGAAAGUCCGCUUUGCCGUCUUGGGUUGAUGGGCCGGGUCGGAGUCCGAGAACCAUCGGGACCACGGAGACCACGGCCCAGGUCCAUCCUCAGCUCUUUACCCGGACCUUGAUUUCGAAGGCGGCGGAGGAUUAUGGCGUCGACGUGGUGAUUGGGAAAUUGGAGCACUUGGGAGUGGACAAUGGGCGAGUGAGCUCGGUGGUUUUGGAGGGAGGACGAGUGAUUGACUCGGACGCUGUCGUUUUGGCGCUGGGGCCAUGGUGUGGGAAAUUUGAGCUGUUGUCGUCGUUGUUCAGAGUGUACGGUAUAAAGGCUCAUAGCAUUGUGUUGGAGCCUAAAGAACCUGAGGCUAUAACCCCUCAUGCGCUUUUCCUGAGUUACUAUCCGUCUCAAGGAGGAAAGCCCUUGGACCCAGAAGUGUACCCUCGCCCCACAGGUGAGGUGUAUGUGUGUGGGAUGUCCGCAGAGGCAGAGAUACCGGAUGAUCCAGAGCAAAUAGUGGGCAAUCCGGAGUCGAUAGAGGUGCUGAGAGGGGUGGCAAGCAGUGUGUCAAGCCAUUUGAGAGAAGGAGAGGCACAGGUGAAGGCAGAGCAAGCAUGUUUCCUGCCCUGUACUGAUGAUGGUGUCCCUGUGAUUGGGGAGGUGCCAGGGGUUAAGGGGUGUUAUGUGGCUACUGGGCAUAAUUGUUGGGGGAUUCUGAAUGGUCCUGCCACUGGAGCUGCUGUGGCUGAGCUUGUGCUGGAUGGGAAAGCUAGCAUCGUAGAUCUCAGUCGGUUUAGUCCGGCAAGAUUUGCUGGGCUUAAGAAGGGUUAAGACAUUAAUCUGGUGUAGACAGAUUUAGAGCACUGAGGAAGUGCAGUGAAGUCAUGUUGUAUCUGGAGUUUUUUUUUUAAUUUUCAGUUGAAGGUAAGAAAGAAUCUGCAUAUGGUAGCUAUCAGUCAGGAAUCAAGCAGCGGCGGUCAAAAGAAAUAAGCUGUUGCAGUUGCCUGCAAGCAAAGCAAGAAAGCAUGUAGCAGCUGAGUAUGGUAGUUGGAAGAUAGUUAAGACUGUCAGGAGUUUGUGUAAUUAGCUGUAAUUGUUCGUUCCCUGCCCUGUGUGAGAAGCAACGCAAAGGAAUGCGGUUGUAUAAGUCCAAGCCAUUGUAAAAAUGACUGAUAUUCAUGAAAUGGAAGAUUACAAAUUAGUAGGCAUCAGUCUUCUUGCCAUCCAGCUGGACCCUUGUCUUUUUAUGUUUUAUAGGUCUGGAGCUGGACCCUUGUUUCUCUGAAAAAUUUGCACACUAAUGUAAUAAGUUUCGGUUCUGGAACCA